rnacentral:misc_RNA from 1 species
AAGUCGUAACAAGGUUUCCGUAGGUGAACCUGCGGAAGGAUCAUUAACACGUUCAAAAACGUACCAACAACAACCAUACACUAGCGAGCGCCUUAACAACGCGCUCUGCUGUGCAUUCGUACCUCUCUCCCUGCACGACACGCAAGCGCCUUCGCGCGCUGGCGUUGCUUGUGCAGGCAUUUUUUUUCUUCUCACAAAGAACAAACCCCGUUUCACCUGACAGUUUGUCUGUCGUUGACUAACGCUUUGUUCAGCUUCGCGUGACGGCCUCGUCCGUCGCGCUUAGCCGAGCUCAAGUAAUUCUAACUUAGAGUACAACUCUUAGCAAUGGAUAUCUUGGUUCCC